CGGAGGGUUGAUGACGUCAUGAAAGGACAAAUUGAUUUACCGCGAGGUCAUCAAGUCUCUCCGAGCAGCCGGCUGCGGAAAAGCGGAGGCGCCAUCUUGAGACACUGAAACGUAGCUCCGCCACCAUGUACCCGACUUCUCUGACGCAGCUGGCAAGAGCCAACCCGUUCGGCGCCCCUCUGUUCAGCCUCCAGAAAGUGGAAGAACCCCAACAGAGCCUCAAUGGACAACGGCCUCGCAGACUGGCAGCAGCUGCAACAGCAGACGAGGGAGACAGUUGUGAGUUCGGCUCUCAGAAGUAUUUUAUCCUGUGUGGUUUUGGUGGGAUUCUGAGCUGUGGCACCACACACACAGCUGUUGUUCCCCUCGACCUGGUCAAAUGCAGAAUGCAGGUCUGUUGCAGUAGCUCGAUCUAUUUUUUUUUCUUUUUUCUUUUGAAUGUAACUUCAUCCCCGCCAGUCCUCCUCCUUUCUGUUAAUAAGCAUUAAUCUGCAUGGUGGAGGUUGUUUUUGUUUUAAUUCCGAUCACAUUUUGUUGAUGUGACAAUAUCACUGCAUGAUUCCAUAAAACCCCGUGUUCCACUGCAGGGGUCAGUGGAGCCGACCCGUUUAGAAAGUGUAGGAAUUUCCACAGUUUGUCACUGGCAAGUAUGUUUUGAAAGUGGAGGUAAUUACAUAUGUAAGGAAUAAAAACAAACAUACAAUUUUCACAUGGAUAGGUAAAAGUUGGUAUGGGACAGCACACUGGAUUUCUUUCUGGUAAAAAGAGAGGCCAGAUUGAGACUUUUAACUGCAUGCCAUGCAGGUGUUUUUUGUUGUUGAUUUUUCUCGGUGAACUGCAAUAUCAUUAAACAGUUAAACUCAAUUAUUUAAACAUAUUCCCCACACUGGCAUAUUUACUUAUUCUUUAGUGAUUCUCACUUGAUGUUGAAACUCCAAACUUUGUCUCUCUUGUUUUUUAUGCUUGUGGUGAGAGGCUUGUGCCUGGUGAGAUGCAGGGUGUAUCCUGGACACAUCUCCAGUCCAUCUCAGGCCAACACUGAGACCCAGGACACACAAUAAUGCAUGCACAUGUUCAUGCCCAAGCAUGCAAUUUAGAGAGAACUGCUUAAAAUUGAUGAGAGAAAGAACUCAAGAAUAAAAGGGAAAA